rnacentral:rRNA from 1 species
UACGUAGGGGGCGAGCGUUGUCCGGAAUCAUUGGGCGUAAAGCGCGUGUAGGCGGCUUGGCAAGUCCGGUGUGAAAGCUCGAGGCUCAACCUCGAGUCUGCAUCGGAAACUGCCUUGCUAGAGUCCGGAAGAGGAGACUGGAAUUCCUGGUGUAGCGGUGAAAUGCGCAGAUAUCAGGAAGAACACCGGUGGCGAAGGCGGGUCUCUGGGACGGUACUGACGCUGAGACGCGAAAGCGUGGGGAGCAAACAGG